AAUCAACACAGUGGAGGCGAGAAGUCUGGCCUUGCGCCGGCCGGGGAGCUUUUCGCCAAGGCUCCUGUGGGAUGGGAUAGCUUGUUCUCUGGGCUGCAGGAACCAAAACAUUAGACCACCCUUUCUGUGACCUUGGGCAUGCCGCCCUCGGUUCCGAGCCGCAAGUCUUUCUUUCGGGGAAAAUGAAAAGGGGUCAAGAUUUGGACCAGAUGACACCCAAUGUCCCAUUCAACGGUCGCAUUCUGUCAUCCACAGGAAUUAGUCCUGUAUCCGAAACAUUCUCUGGUAGUCAAAAGCUGUGAGCAAAUAAUAAGAAAAAAUGUGCAAAACGUUUUUUAGUACAGUUAGCAAAUAGUGUACUCAGUUGUUGAAGGAAAUGGGAUGAAGCCUAUCAGAUUUCAACAAACUUAUUUACCUCUUGAGAAAGCUGCUCUCUUUUCGGUUGUCCUUCUGUGUCUCUCUUUCAAAGAUCAAGUCUCACUGCGAUGCUGAUAUGUUUUUAACACUUCUCCAGCAUUUCUUAACCUAACAGCAGGUUUCAGGCACAGGCCUGCAGCAAGCAGCCAUAUCCAACUAAAAUUCCACUACUAUAUGUUUUUAUUUGCAUUACAUUUAUCAGGGAGCUUUCUAUUUAUGGCAAGGAAACUGAUUUUAAAUUUAAAUCAGUGAUAUACAUCAAGAGCUAGAUUUUGCAUUUUUAAGUGAAAAAGUAAGCUAUCAAAUAGAACAGGUGGAAUUUGGAUAUGGUGGGGCGGAGGGGUAGGCAGAGCAGGGGAGAGGAACAUCGUGAUAGUGGUACUCAAAUUACUAAGUUUUAGAAAACACUAUCACGGGGCCUUUCAGGAGCCUGGAGACAGAUGGAGGGGAAGACAGAAGAGAGAUUAAGGAGAAGAAUGGUUUCAUUUGGAAGGACACUGACUAAGGAAAAACAGAGAAAAGGAUGAAACCCAAGCCAACUCUGCAACUCUAUUAAAAACACCAAGACUUCAAUAUGAACCUGGCAUGGUGGGCACAGUCGGGCACUGCAGGCGGCUUGCCUCCAGCAGAAGGAAUACUGCUACUCAGCUCUAGAUGAUUGCCCUGAAGAAAUUCAUGCCCACUGAAUCUCCUUAAAGGGAGGCAGUGCAUUCUUCAUGGCUAGAGCUUCAGCAGCUAUCUAGAACCAUAUGGUGGAAGCCACUUACUGAGAACUGUGAAACAAGAGCCUGGGUCCCUGACAUAUGAAGCCACCAUACCUACCUUAAAGUGUCUUUCACUUGAGGGAAAAAUACAUCUUUCUUAGAGAUUUGAAUUUUAAUGUCCCAGAAAUAUAAAGAAGAUGGCAUUAAAAUGUCCUAUAUGUUGGCAGUCCUACCCUGAAGACUUUUUUUGCUUAUCUUUUGUUCUGAGCUACAGUCUUCGCAGAGACUAAAUUAGUGACUGGACAACAGAAGAAAAUAGACCAUCCUGGCUAAAAUGGUGAAACCCCAUCUCUACUAAAAACACAAAAAAUUAGCUGGGCAUGUUAGCGGGUGCCUGUAGUCCCAGCUACUCGGGAGGCUGAGGCAAGAAAAUGGCGUGAACCUGGGAGGCGGAGCUUGCAGUGAGCUGAGAUCGCGCCACUGCACUCCAGCAUGGGGGAUAGAGCGAGACUCCGUCUCAAAAAAAAAAAAAAAAAAAAAAAAAAGAAAA
ensembl:lncRNA MLF1-DT MLF1 divergent transcript